UACGGAGGAGGCAAGCGUUAUCCGGAAUUAUUGGGCGUAAAGCGUCCGCAGGUGGCGAUUCAAGUCUGCGGUUAAAGACUGGGGCUUAACCCUGGAAAGGCCGUGGAAACUGAAACGCUAGAGUGCAGUAGGGGUAGAGGGAAUUCCGGGUGUAGUGGUGAAAUGCGUAGAGAUCCGGAGGAACCCCAGAGGCGAGGGCGGCGCCCUGGCUCGCAACUGACGCUCAGACACGACAGCAUGGGGAGCGAACGGG
rnacentral:rRNA from 1 species